UUACGUGCACUAAAAGUGCUUGUUUUUGCCAUGACAGGCUCCGAUUGUUAUUAUAAGUGUCUGACAAUAUUAUGGAAAGGACCCUACAGAGAAAUAACAUGUUUUUCUCAACUUUUUCUUGAUCCAGUCUGUUAGUUAUUGUGUCCAAGUCCCGCUCAAAGAGAAGUCUGGUUGUGAAAUCUGAAUAUUUGUAUACUCUGGCUCA